rnacentral:tRNA from 1 species
GCGCUCGUAGCUCAGGUGGAUAGAGCACCUGCCUUCUAAGCAGGUGGUCGCGCGUUCGAAUCGCGCCGAGCGCGCCA